AUCAGCUGAAUUAAAAUGUUAUUUCAAAUGUGAUAUUGAUGGACCCUUACAUCGCUUUCCCAAAUGGGAAUAUCCUCAUACAGAGAAGUUAAACCAAUGAAAAUUUUGAAAUUUUGAUAGGAAUGAUCAUGUUAAAAAACAAGCAUCCGAUUAUUAUAAUAAAAGAUGAAAAUAAACAACAGUUUUAUAAAUUCUA